AUUUAAGGACUGACUGCUACUGGGAAAGGGUCUCUGGUGACAAGACAAACAUUUCAUCUGAAGAAAAUCCUCAGGUGCUGUUUAGCACCACUAAUACAGAAGGAUUCAAGACAGUGCCAGACACUGAAUUAUACUGGACUCAGCCCUGGGAAUGUAAACCUGUGGAGUGGAGUAUCGCUGCUGAAAGCCACAGAGCACACAGGCUGCUGGAAUGAAUAACUACACUCAGAGACUGCUAUAUAUGGACAUUUCUAGAAAAAUAGAAUUGUACAGAACCUGAGGAACUACAGUCUGGUUUUGGAGACCAAAUUCAAAGCAACAAGCUACCAAGAAGUUACAAAAACAGCCAUUUGUGAGCAGCUCUGCAGAGAUCUCCUCACGCUGCAGGAUCCCUGCACUGAGUUAUCUCAGCAUCCAUAACCCUGCAUGGAAGUGACUUCUUACCUACUAAACAUGGUGGUUGGACUACAGGAUUUUAGCGGCCUCUUCCAACCUUAAUGAUUAUAUGAAUCACAGGGGAUCUGCUGAUAGCUGGCUGGUGAACACCUUGCCCAAGAUUUAGUGUCAUAACAGCACAUUCAUUUCACAGUCCUGCCUGUUGCCAAGUCCCUGUACAAGAGCAAGGUUACUGGAAAACACAACUAAAUGGGAUAGGAAUCCUCUCACAGUACUUUGCACUGGAGGGUAAUGAACCAAACCCUUGAUUUCUUCCUCAUACCAAUCUAAACAGAAGAGCUGUUUAUACUAAAGUUUUGUUUAUGAAGAGUCACUGAAUUAGACACUCCUAAGUGAGUCACUGGUUGAUGAAACAAGAGGCACUCAUUGCAGGCAGCAUCAAGUUCAUUCAGAUCUAGCUUAUAACUUUUCCUUUUUUCCCAGUCCAAGGGUAGCAUCAGUUUUAAUAGCUCCAGCCACUCCUCAAGAUCAGCCCUCCUUGACUCACCAAUUACCCAGCUAGUAAAAAAAAGAAAAACAGGACAGCAGAUGAAUACUGCUCAUGCUCUUAGCCAAAGCACAGGACAGUGGGCUGGGCAGGGCCAGACUGCCCAAGAUGACACUUAGUAUGACAGUUGCCUUCCAACUACACAGAGCAUGAAAGAAUUUCCUUUCCUGCUGCUGGUAACACAGCUGGGAGACCAUCAGAAAUGGCUUCUCCUUCUUCCAGAAAAAUAUGAUGGUGCAGUUCGGUGGCUCAGUCAUCCUGGUGCUUCUAAGUUCCACAUUUCAGAUUUUUUAAUGAUUUUCUGGUACCAUAGUUACCUCUUAUAUUGCUGCUGUAUAGUUAAAGACCCAGAAUGAACCAGUAUUGUAGAAUCAUAGAAUCAUUAAGGUUGAAAAGAUCAAUAAGAUCAUCUAGACCAACC
ensembl:lncRNA